CUUAAUUAUUUAGUAUAAAUGAAGGCAAGUGUGUGUUCUGUUCAUCUUUGCAAUCGUGUGUUCCCUGAUAGUCAAUGAUUGCUGGAGCUCUGGAAAUAGCAGGUGAGAUUGCAGGCCGGAGUCCCAUUGCUGUCCAGGGAACCAAAGUCAACCUCCUCUACUCCUGAGACCACAGUGUGACUGAGAGCCUAGACUACAUGGAGAACGAGAAACUCUGACAUGAGUACAUCCUGACCAUUGGUACUGUGUACACAUCAACAUACACACACGUCUCCAUGCUGGACAUCUCGGGGAGCUUUCACACAGUGCUAGGAAUAUCCCGGGACAGAGAAACGCACCUCCUAAAAAUGAUAUUUCGAGGCAGCUUCUUCAUCACUACCUGCUCCAUUUGACUCAAAAAUGCAACGACCGGUUUCAAAAAGUCACGAUGUCUUCAGUUCAUGUGAUUUUACUGUUGAAUUUAAACAGGAAAUGUGAAAUAUUUUUGUUCCUUUGUUUCCUCUACUGUC
ensembl:lncRNA